rnacentral:rRNA from 1 species
GACGAACGCUGGCGGCGUGCUUAACACAUGCAAGUCGAACGAAGUGGCGAACGGGUGAGUAACGCGUAAUCAACCUGCCCUUCCGAGGGGGACAACAGUUGGAAACGACUGCUAAUACCGCAUACUCAAGGAGGGGAUUGCGUCUGAUUAGCUAGUUGGAGGGGUAACGGCCCACCCAGGCGCUGAUCAGGAGCGGGUAGGAGAGGAGGAACGGCAACAUUGGAAGGGAGACACGGCCCAGACGCCUACGGGAGGCAGCAGUGGGGAUGCUUCCGAAAUGAACGAAAGUCGGAGGGAGAAACGCCGCGGGAGUGAGGAGGGCCGUCGGGUUGUAAAGCUCGGUUAAUCGGGACGCGGUACCGGAAGAGAAAGCAACGGCUAACUACGUGCCAGCCGCCGCGGUAAUUC